CGAGGGUGCAAGCGUUAUCCGGAUUCACUGGGUUUAAAGGGUGCGUAGGCGGGCAGUUAAGUCCGUGGUGAAAUCUCUGAGCUUAACUCAGAAACUGCCAUGGAUACUAUCUGUCUUGAAUAUUGUGGAGGUUAGCGGAAUAUGUCAUGUAGCGGUGAAAUGCUUAGAUAUGACAUAGAACACCAAUUGCGAAGGCAGCUAACUACACAGUGAUUGACGCUGAGGCACGAAAGCGUGGGGAUCAAACAGGAUUAGAUACCCUGGUAGUCCACGCCCUAAACGAUGAUUACUCGACAUCAGCGAUACACUGUUGGUGUCUGAGCGAAAGCAUUAAGUAAUCCACCUGGGAAGUACGACCGCAAGGUUG
rnacentral:rRNA from 1 species